AGUGAACGCUGGCGGCAGGCCUAACACAUGCAAGUCGAGCGGCAGCGCGGGGCAACCUGGCGGCGAGCGGCGGACGGGUGAGGAAUACAUCGGAAUCUACCCUGUCGUGGGGGAUAACGUAGGGAAAGCUGUGCUAAUACCGCAUACGAUCUAUGGGUGAAAGCGGGGGACCGUAAGGCCUCGCGCGAUUGGAGCGGCCGAUGUCAGAUUAGGUAGUUGGUGGGGUAAAGGCCCACCAAGCCGACGAUCUGUAGCUGGUCUGAGAGGACGACCAGCAACACUGGGACUGAGACACGGCCCAGACUCCCACGGGGGGCAGCAGUGGGGAAUUUUGGACAAUGGGCGCAAGCCUGAUCCAGCAAUGCCGCGUGCAGGAAGAAGGCCUUCGGGUUGUAAACUGCUUUUGUACGGAACGAAACGGUCUGGGUUAAUACCCUGGGCUAAUGACGGUACCGUAAGAAUAAGCACCGGCUAACUACGUGCCAGCCGCCGCCGUAAUAC
rnacentral:rRNA from 1 species